UACGUAGGGGGCAAGCGUUGUCCGGAAUCAUUGGGCGUAAAGAGCGCGUAGGCGGCCCUGUAAGUCCGCUGUGAAAGUCAAGGGCUCAACCCUUGAAUGCCGGUGGAUACUGCAGGGCUAGAGUCCGGAAGAGGCGAGUGGAAUUCCUGGUGUAGCGGUGAAAUGCGCAGAUAUCAGGAGGAACACCGAUGGCGAAGGCAGGUCUCUGGGCCAUAACUGACGCUGAGAAGCGAAAGCAUGGGGAGCGAACAGG
rnacentral:rRNA from 1 species